GUGUUCACUUCGGCAGCACAUAUACACAAAUUGGAACUAUACAGAGAAGGUUAGCAUGGCCCCUGUGCAGGAUGACAUGCAAAUUUGAGAAGCAUUCCACAUUUUU
ensembl:snRNA U6 U6 spliceosomal RNA